UACGUAGGGGGCUAGCGUUGUCCGGAAUCAUUGGGCGUAAAGCGCGUGUAGGCGGUCUGGUAAGUCCGCUGUGAAAGUCGGGGGCUCAACCCUCGGAUGCCGGUGGAUACUGUCGGGCUUGAGUACGGAAGAGGCGAGUGGAAUUCCUGGUGUAGCGGUGAAAUGCGCAGAUAUCAGGAGGAACACCAAUUGCGAAGGCAGCUCGCUGGGACGUUACUGACGCUGAGACGCGAAAGCGUGGGGAGCAAACAGG
rnacentral:rRNA from 1 species